AGAACUUCAAAUCACAUGAUUAUCCAAUAGAAAGCUGUUCCUAGGAAAAUUUUUUUUGUUGAAAUGCAACUAGAAAAUACUGCAGGGCUUGUCAACCUUUAUCCCCACUUUUCUCAGCACUAAACCUUAAUUUUUCUCCCUGUAGUACACAGUUUGGCAUGGGCCCCUCUUUGGACUAACCAAUGACUCUUUUCUCUAAACUUCUUCAGAGCACUAAUUUGGUUAAAAAAUAGCUGAAGGUGGGUAUACCCACAGGACAUUCCUGCACUUCUCUCAGCAUGCUCCUACUGAUGUCUAAUGCUUUCUUAGAUGUACCUAGAAGUCUCAGAAAAUAGCAAGUUGUGUCUGAACACAGAUAUUUAUUUAUUUACUGAAGGAAGAACAUAGAUUUUGAUGAAUCAUCAGAUGGCAACUAUUAAUUCCAUGAGGAUCCACAAUUAUGUGAUAGCCUCCCCAUAUUCUCCAGUUUGUACCAGCAUGAGAUAGUCUAUACAUGUGCUCCUGCUAGAGGAGUAGAUUAGCAACUAAGGGCUUGUUUGGCAAUAUCUUGCCUGAUCAGGAUACAGGGAGAAGAGUGUGCAGGGUGGGAGGAUGGAGGUG
rnacentral:lncRNA from 1 species